rnacentral:rRNA from 1 species
UACGGAGGGUGCAAGCGUUAUCCGGAUUUACUGGGUUUAAAGGGUGUGUAGGCGGGCUGUUAAGUCAGUGGUGAAAUCUCCGGGCUCAACCCGGAAACUGCCAUUGAUACUAAUGGUCUUGAAUUUUGUUGAGGUAGGCGGAAUAAGUCAUGUAGCGGUGAAAUGCAUAGAUAUGACUUAGAACACCAAUUGCGAAGGCAGCUUGCUAAACAAAUAUUGACGCUGAGGCGCGUAAGCGUGGGGAUCAAACAGG